AGAUUCUAUGGUCGGUUCUUGUGAUUGAAGUGGUGGUUUGGUAUAGAUAUAUAAAAAACGUAUAGAUUCUAUGAUUCUAUGGUUCUUUAUGCUUGCAAAAAACGUAUAGAUUCUAUAGAUUCUAUGGUUCUUAUGUUACAUGCUUGCAAAAUGUAUGAUUUAUGUUUGGUUGUAUGGUCGGCACCAGUCUUGUGUAGAUUUAUGAUGUUAUGGUUGUUUCAUGGUUGCAAAAUGUCUGUUAAAAUGUGAAGUAUUUUUAACAAAUUAGAAUUAGAAUUGUGGUUUACUUCUUCAAUAGAUUGCAAUGAGGGAAAUCGUUUAUGUUGUUAAUGUUACCUAUAUUAGCUGGAUUGCAAUGAGGCACUGUCGUCCUGAGUUGAUAGCGUAGAUAGGUUAGUAAUAACUUCAGAUUAGACAUAUCUUGUUUAUGGCUAGUCUUUAUGUGGAAAACUUAAUACUCUUCACCUGCUAACUCCCAUCUCAUUCCCUUUAAAUAUACACAGCUUCUUUCUCUCUUUUAUCAUCUCAUAAUCUACAACUCUCUCUCAAAUCUUUAUCUGUUAUAACUCGUAUGGAUCCAAGAAACUAUCAAACCCCGUCCUCUAGUUACGUAGGACUGCUUAACAGUCAAGAUGGUAGUGGUCUGAAUGAAAACUUUCCUUAUCAAAGUUUUCAUUCAAGUGUUAACUAUGGAGAAUCUGAGAUGCCUCCCUUCAGUUCACAACAAGCUGAACACACGCCAGUAGACACGCCAGUAGACACACCAGUAGAGCAUCAUGUUAGACGCAAAUGGAGCCCAGCUGAUGAUGAGGUUCUUAUCUCUGCUUGGCUUAACACUUCGAAGGAUGCCAUAGUUGGAAAUGACCAGAAGUUGGGGAAGUUCUGGAAGCGGGUUGGAGAGUAUUUUGCAGAGAGUCCACAUGGUCUAGAGGAAGGUGAAAGGAGAGGGGAUCUUACUUGUAAGAAGAGGUAGCACAGAAUAAACGAUCAGGUUACCAAGUUCUGUGGGGCAUACUCAGCAGCAGAGAGACAAAUUGGCAGUGGUGAGAGUAACACUGAUGUUCUCAAGAAGGCUCACGACAUCUUCUACUCUAAUCAGCAAACCAAGUUCACCCUUGAGCAUGCUUGGUGUGUGUUACGUUUUGAACAAAAAUGGCUUAGCCUUAACACUCCAAAAGCCACUGCCAGUUCAAAGAGGAAGGAUGGUGAGACAGAUCCAAGCACCACUGUCCUUGAUCAGGAGGUCCAGCCUGAAGGUUGCAAGGCUGCUAAACUAAAAAGGUCGACUGUUCAAGGGAAGUCUGUUGCUGACUAUACGACCAUAUGAGAAAUGAAGAAAGAGGAUUUGGCUAUGAAGGAGAGACUGUCAAUGCUGGCCAUACUAGACAGUCUCCUCACCAAGAAAGAACCAUUAACUGAACCGGAGGAAGUUGUGAAGAAUAAGCUCCUAGCCAAGUAUUUCUAAAAGAUUAGGAUACAAUCUCUGUUUUAGUAUGUGUUGAAUUUGCUUCUAUGUCUUUUAAAUUCUCUGUUUUAAGUACUAUGUUACCUAUAUUAGCUGGAUUGCAAUGAGGCACUGUCGUCCUGAGUUGAUAGCGUAGAUAGGUUAAUAACUUCAGAUUAGACAUAUCUUGUUUAUGGCUAGUCUU
rnacentral:lncRNA from 1 species